UGUGCAUCAUCUUUGGUUUAAACCCCCGAUUUCUGCAAAUCUAGAUUUACGUUUUUCCCCAGAAGAUUUGGCUAAUUUUACUCGGUACCUUCACCUGCUUCAGUCGCAUGACAGUAUCGUUGAUGGGACAAAAAUCACAGAUGUGGACACUUCUAGUUCAGAUUUGCUUUCUUAUGUGUUCAGCGGUUGAAACUGCAGCAUAUAACAACGGUGAAUACUACACCACGUGCAGAUCGUCUGGCGCAGACUUUCUAGGAGGAGCAGGAGGGUUGAGUAAAGUAACCCUGGUAACAGAAGAACUGUGUGUGGACCACUGCUUGCAGCUCCCUGAAUGUAUUGCUGUUACGUUCGUCGGACCGAAUCCUGACUACUAUGACGCCAGUCUGCAGGGCUGCUACGCUAAGGCGGGGGGUUGGACAGUGCAGCGUGGUACUGAUAGACAGGCUACCAUGAUCUCUGUGAAUGUGACCUGCGUGAGACAACUCAUAGAGGCCUGUAACCAAAAUAACGGGACAUGGACACAAAGUCAGAAAUGCAGAUAUAGUGGUAAGAUACUUAAAUUAUUUCAUAGUUAUUUUCACUCAGUUAUUAACAAAACAGCAAUCUGGUCUCGUUAAUAAUAAUGGGCAAUUGUUAACGAGGCCAGCUGUUUUUAAAUUUUAAAAACGUGACCAAAACGUGACCAAAACGUGACCAGUGCAGUAUUUCUUAGAUUAAUUCAUUCAUGAAUUAAUCGAGAAGUUGAUAGAUAUUAUGUAAUGACUGACAAUCAUACUAAUUAUAAACAAUUCAAAAGAUAACAAAGAGUGCCUGCUAUUAUUCUCGAUGUUGGUUCAAAAUAUUUCAUAUCAUAAAUUUCUAUGAAACAAAUAGAGAAUACUCCGUGCAACGUCGCAGUUUUCUGCAUAACUCUAUUUGACCAUAAUUAUAUUUAUAAUUAACCAGAACUCUCUGUUAAUCUGAGAACAACAGUUAAUGCUACGUAGUGUGGGUAAGUGAAGUUAACUUAAUCAAUAAAGAUUGAAUUUUUUAGUAGA